rnacentral:rRNA from 1 species
AGAGUUUGAUCAUGGCUCAGAUUGAACGCUGGCGGCAUGCCUUACACAUGCAAGUCGAGCGGCAGCGCGGGGGCAACCCUGGCGGCGAGCGGCAAACGGGUGAGUAACACGUGGGUGACCUGCCUUCGAGCGGGGGAUAACGUCCCGAAAGGGACGCUAAUACCGCAUAACAUCCUGCCUUUGAAGAGGUGGAGAUCAAAGCCGGGGAUUCGCAAGAACCUGGCACUUGAAGAGGGGCCCGCGCCUGAUUAGCUAGUUGGUGAGGUAAUGGCUCACCAAGGCAACGAUCAGUAUCCGGCCUGAGAGGGCGGACGGACACACUGGGACUGAGACACGGCCCAGACUCCUACGGGAGGCAGCAGUGGGGAAUUGUUCGCAAUGGGCGCAAGCCUGACGACGCAACGCCGCGUGGAGGAUGAAGACCUUCGGGUCGUAAACUCCUUUCGAUCGAGACGAAUGGUUUCCGGGUGAAUAAUCCGGGAAAGUGACGGUACCGAGAGAAGAAGCCCCGGCUAACUCCGUGCCAGCAGCCGCGGUAAUACGGGGGGGGCAAGCGUUGUUCGGAAUUACUGGGCGUAAAGGGCUCGUAGGUGGCCAACUAAGUCAGACGUGAAAUCCCUCAGCUUAACUGGGGAACUGCGUCUGAUACUGGAUGGCUUGAGUUUGGGAGAGGGACGCGGAAUUCCAGGUGUAGCGGUGAAAUGCGUAGAUAUCUGGAGGAACACCGGUGGCGAAGGCGGCGUCCUGGACCAACACUGACACUGAGGAGCGAAAGCCAGGGGAGCAAACGGGAUUAGAUACCCUAGUAGUCC